rfam:Coccidioides immitis H538.4 supercont1.34 genomic scaffold, whole genome shotgun sequence.
GGUUUCGUGGUCUAGGGGUUAUGACACCGGAUUUUGACUUCCAACACCAAACUUCCGGUUGCCUGGGUUCGAAUCCCAGCGAGACCU